rnacentral:rRNA from 1 species
UCCUACGGGAGGCAGCAGCAAGGAAUCUUGCGCAAUGGGCGAAAGCCUGACGCAGCAACGCCGCGUGGGGGAAGAAGGCUCUCGGGUCGUAAACCCCUUUUGCAGGGGAAGUAACUGACGGUACCCUGCGAAUAAGCCACGGCUAACUACGUGCCAGCAGCCGCGGUA